CAUUGAGCCGUACCCGAAACCGACACAGGUGGGAAGGUAGAGUAUACCAAGGCGUUGAGAGAACUAUGGUUAAGGAACUCGGCAAAUUGCACGCGUAACUUCGGGAUAAGCGUGCCCGGUUGUAGCGCAAGCUAUGGCCGGGGGCACAUAAGAGGGGGUGGCAACUGUUUAUCAAAAACACAGGGCUCUGCAAACUCCAAAGAGGAAGUAUAGGGUCUGACGCCUGCCCGGUGCUGGAAGGUUAAGAAAAGCUGUUAACGCAGUGGAUUGAAGCCCCAGUAAACGGCGGCCGUAACAAUAACGGUCCUAAGGUAGCGAAAUUCCUUGUCGGGUAAGUUCCGACCCGCAUGAAUGGCGUAACGAUCUCCCCACUGUCUCAACCAUAGACUCAGCGAAAUAGAAUUCCUCGUGAAGAUGCGGGGUACCCGCGGCUAGACGGAAAGACCCUAUGAACCUUUACUGUAGCUUUACAGUGGGCUUAGGAAAUGCUUGUGCAGAAUAGGUAGGAGGCGAUGAAGCCAAGGCGUCAGCUUUGGUGGAGCCAACUUUGAGAUACUACCCUGGCAUUUCUUGAGUUCUAACCUCGCACCGAACCGGUGCAGGGACCCUGUAUGGUGGGCAGUUUGACUGGGGCGGUCGCCUCCCAAAGAGUAACGGAGGCGCUCGAAGUUCGGCUCAGGACGGUUGGAAACCGUCUCUCGAGUGUAAUGGCAAAAGCCGGGCUGACUGCAAGAGGGACACCUCGAGCAGGUGGGAAACCAGGACAUAGUGAUCCGGUGGUUCCGCAUGGAAGGGCCAUCGCAAACGGAUAAAAGGUACUCUAGGGAUAACAGGCUGAUCGCAUCCAAGCGUCCAUAGCGACGAUGCGGUUUGGCACCUCGAUGUCGACUCAUCACAUCCUGGGGCUGGAGCAGGUCCCAAGGGUUCGGCUGUUCGCCGAUUAAAGUGGUACGUGAGUUGGGUUCAAAACGUCGUGAGACAGUUUGGUCCCUAUCUACCGUGGGUGUAGGAGUGUUGAGAUGAGUUGCCCUUAGUACGAGAGGACCGGGGCGAACACACCUCUGGUGUAUCUGUUGUGGCGCCAGCCGCAUUGCAGAGUAGCUAUGUGUGGACGGGAUAACCGCUGAAAGCAUCUAAGCGGGAAGCCCCCAUCAAAACAAGCACUCCCAAUAAGACCGUUGUAGACUACGACGUUGAUAGGUCAGGUGUGUAAGUGCAGCAAUGCAUUGAGCUAACUGAUACUAAUGAUCUGAUUGU
rnacentral:rRNA from 1 species